rnacentral:rRNA from 1 species
CCUACGGGAGGCUGCAGUGAGGAAUAUUGGUCAAUGGACGAGAGUCUGAACCAGCCAAGUAGCGUGAAGGAUGACUGCCCUAUGGGUUGUAAACUUCUUUUAUAUGGGAAUAAAACGUUCCACGUGUGGGAUUUUGUAUGUACCAUAUGAAUAAGGAUCGGCUAACUCCGUGCCAGCAGCCGCGGUAAUACGGAGGAUCCGAGCGUGUUCCGGAUUUAUUGGGUUUAAAGGGAGCGUAGGUGGAUUGUUAAGUCAGUUGUGAAAGUUUGCGUCGCAACCGUAAAAUUGCAGUUGAAACUGGCAGUCUUGAGUACAGUAGAGGUGGGCGGAAUUCGUGGUGUAGCGGUGAAAUGCUUAGAUAUCACGAAGAACUCCGAUUGCGAAGGCAGUUCACUGGACUGCAACUGACACUGAGGCUCGAAAGUGUGGGUAUCAAACAGGAUUAGAUACCCUUGUAGUC